CCUACGGGCGGCUGCAGUGGGGAAUAUUGGACAAUGGGGGGAACCCUGAUCCAGCCAUGCCGCGUGUGUGAAGAAGGCCCUCGGGUUGUAAAGCACUUUCAGUGAGGAAGAACGCCUGGUGGUUAAUACCCAUCAGGAAAGACAUCACUCACAGAAGAAGCACCGGCUAACUCCGUGCCAGCAGCCGCGGUAAUACGGAGGGUGCGAGCGUUAAUCGGAAUUACUGGGCGUAAAGCGCGCGUAGGUGGCUUGAUAAGCCGGUUGUGAAAGCCCCGGGCUCAACCUGGGAACGGCAUCCGGAACUGUCAAGCUAGAGUGCAGGAGAGGGAGGUAGAAUUCCCGGUGUAGCGGUGAAAUGCGUAGAGAUCGGGAGGAAUACCAGUGGCGAAGGCGGCCUUCUGGACUGACACUGACACUGAGGUGCGAAAGCGUGGGUAGCAAACAGGAUUAGAUACCCCAGUAGUC
rnacentral:rRNA from 1 species